UUAAGUUGAUCUGGCUCAGGAUGAACGCUAGCGGCAGGCCUAAUACAUGCAAGUCGAACGGUAAGUAUGGUAGCAAUACUGUACCAAGAGUGACGCACGGGUGCGUAACACGUAUGCAACCUACCCUUUACAGGCGGAUAGCUCGGGGAAACUCGAAUUAACCCGCCAUAAUAUAAUUGGAUGGCAUCAUUUGAUUAUUAAAACUGAGGUGGUAAAGGAUGGGCAUGCGUCUGAUUAGUUAGUUGGUAGUGUAACGGACUACCAAGACGAUGAUCAGUAGGGGAACUGAGAGGUUGAUCCCCCACACUGGCACUGAGAUACGGGCCAGACUCCUACGGGAGGCAGCAGUAGGGAAUAUUGGUCAAUGGGUGAGAGCCUGAACCAGCCAUGCCGCGUGCAGGAAGAAGGCCUUCUGGGUUGUAAACUGCUUUUGCCAGGGGAUAAAAAUACCUUGCGAGGUAAAUUGAAGGUACCUGGUGAAUAAGCCACGGCUAACUACGUGCCAGCAGCCGCGGUAAUACGUAGGUGGCAAGCGUUGUCCGGAUUUAUUGGGUUUAAAGGGUGCGUAGGCGGCCCUGUAAGUCAGUGCUGAAAUAUCCCAGCUUAACUGGGAGGGUGGCAUUGAUACUGCGGGGCUAGAGUACAGAUGAGGUAGGCGGAAUUGACGGUGUAGCGGUGAAAUGCUUAGAUAUCGUCAAGAACACCUAUAGCGAAGGCAGCUUACUAGGCUGUAACUGACGCUGAGGCACGAAAGUGUGGGGAUCAAACAGGAUUAGAUACCCUGGUAGUCCACACUGUAAACGUUGAUUACUCGCUGUGUGCGAUAUACAGUACGCGGCCAAGCGAAAGCGCUAAGUAAUCCACCUGGGGAGUACGCCGGCAACGGUGAAACUCAAAGGAAUUGGCGGGGGUCCGCACAAGCGGUGGAGCAUGUGGUUUAAUUCGAUGAUACGCGAGGAACCUUACCUGGGCUAGAAUGUCACACGACCGGUGGUGAAAGCCACUUUCCCCGCAAGGGGCGUGUGAUAAGGUGCUGCAUGGCCGUCGUCAGCUCGUGCCGUGAGGUGUUGGGUUAAGUCCCGCAACGAGCGCAACCCCCAUCACUAGUUGCCAUCAGGUAACGCUGGGAACUCUAGUGAAACUGCCGUCGUAAGACGUGAGGAAGGAGGGGAUGAUGUCAAGUCAUCAUGGCCUUUAUGCCCAGGGCUACACACGUGCUACAAUGGGGCGUACAAAGGGCUGCAACACAGCGAUGUGAAGCUAAUCCCAAAAAACGCCUCUCAGUUCAGAUUGCAGUCUGCAACUCGACUGCAUGAAGCUGGAAUCGCUAGUAAUCGUAGAUCAGCAACGCUACGGUGAAUACGUUCCCGGACAUGCACA
rnacentral:rRNA from 1 species